rnacentral:rRNA from 1 species
AUUGAACGCUGGCGGCAGGCUUAACACAUGCAAGUCGAGCGGGGGAAGGUAGCUUGCUACCGGACCUAGCGGCGGACGGGUGAGUAAUGCUUAGGAAUCUGCCUAUUAGUGGGGGACAACAUCUCGAAAGGGAUGCUAAUACCGCAUACGUCGUACGGGAGAAAGCAGGGGAUCUUCGGACCUUGCGCUAAUAGAUGAGCCUAAGUCGGAUUAACUAGUUGGUGGGGUAAAGGCCUACCAAGGCGACGAUCUGUAGCGGGUCUGAGAGGAUGAUCCGCCACACUGGGACUGAGACACGGCCCAGACUCCUACGGGAGGCAGCAGUGGGGAAUAUUGGACAAUGGGGGGAACCCUGAUCCAGCCAUGCCGCGUGUGUGAAGAAGGCCUUAUGGUUGUAAAGCACUUUAAGCGAGGAGGAGGCUACUCUAGUUAAUACCUAGGGAUAGUGGACGUUACUCGCAGAAUAAGCACCGGCUAACUCUGUGCCAGCAGCCGCAGUAA